rnacentral:rRNA from 1 species
GAUGAACGCUGGCGGCGUGCCUAAUACAUGCAAGUCGAGCGAACAGAUGAGGAGCUUGCUCCUUUGACGUUAGCGGCGGACGGGUGAGUAACACGUAGGUAACCUACCUAUAAGACUGGGAUAACUUCGGGAAACCGGAGCUAAUACCGGAUAAUAUUUCGAACUGCAUGGUUCGAUAGUGAAAGAUGGCUUUGCUAUCACUUAUAGAUGGACCUGCGCCGUAUUAGCUAGUUGGUAAGGUAACGGCUUACCAAGGCAACGAUACGUAGCCGACCUGAGAGGGUGAUCGGCCACACUGGAACUGAGACACGGUCCAGACUCCUACGGGAGGCAGCAGUAGGGAAUCUUCCGCAAUGGGCGCAAGCCUGACGGAGCAACGCCGCGUGAGUGAUGAAGGUCUUCGGAUCGUAAAACUCUGUUAUUAGGGAAGAACAAACGUGUAAGUAACUGUGCACGUCUUGACGGUACCUAAUCAGAAAGCCACGGCUAACUACGUGCCAGCAGCCGCCGUAAAAC